GUAGUCCACGCCGUAAACGGUGGGUACUAGGUGUGGGUUUCCUUCCUUGGGAUCCGUGCCGUAGCUAACGCAUUAAGUACCCCGCCUGGGGAGUACGGCCGCAAGGCUAAAACUCAAAGAAAUUGACGGGGGCCCGCACAAGCGGCGGAGCAUGUGGAUUAAUUCGAUGCAACGCGAAGAACCUUACCUGGGUUUGACAUGCACAGGACGUGCCUAGAGAUAGGUAUUCCCUUGUGGCCUGUGUGCAGGUGGUGCAUGGCUGUCGUCAGCUCGUGUCAUGAGAUGUUGGGUUAAGUCCCGCAACGAGCGCAACCCUUAUCUUAUGUUGCCAGCGCGUAAUGGCGGGGACUCGUGAGAGACUGCCGGGGUCAACUCGGAGGAAGGUGGGGAUGACGUCAAGUCAUCAUGCCCCUUAUGUCCAGGGCUUCACACAUGCUACAAUGGCCGGUACAAAGGGCUGCGAUGCCGUGAGGUGGAGCGAAUCCUUUCAAAGCCGGUCUCAGUUCGGAUCGGGGUCUGCAACUCGACCCCGUGAAGUCGGAGUCGCUAGUAAUCGCAGAUCAGCAACGCUGCGGUGAAUA
rnacentral:rRNA from 1 species